rnacentral:lncRNA from 1 species
AUGGGGGCACAGCCUGAGCAGUUUGUGGAGAAGGGGACCAAGGCCUCUCAGCCUAUGCUGGGCUCCAGGCUCCAUCUUGAAGAUCUACGAGUGUUCUGGUGGAGAUGCUUCUGCAAAGCCCGGCCCCAUCCUGAAUCUGAGGACAUCAGACUUGUGCACAUGUGGACUGAUGCCAAUGGAACCAAUGGAAUGUCUCUGGGUACACAUUCACUGGGACUGAGGACUGAAUAACACUAGGAAAGGACCAUGCAAGAUAAAGAGGAGGAGCAUAACUUCUGAAGAAACUGUUUUGAUCUGCUUUGGGUUUUCCCAAUAUUGGCAAUUCUUUGUUUUGAAUACAUUUUUUCCCCUUUAAGAGAAGUAUACUCCAAGCCAGUCUUGUGCUACAGCUUCUUUACCUUUGUCUGCCUAACUCAGCUGGUAUUUAAUUGGUCAGCAAUAGGAGGGAAGUCUCCUUUGAGGUAAUGAAUAUUGACUGUUUAUGUUGAAAUGUCACUGUGAAAAGAAAGCCCAGCACCAAAGAGGCGGAACUCAGUGUGAGAGUUUCAGACACAAAGGAGACACCAGCAAAGCACAGGCAUUGAAAAGCAAAGCAGCUGAAAUUCAAAGAAAAGAUGAAACAGAAAUGGUCUACAUGUGUGGGAAUUUUAAGCUGUCAGUUGACAGGUGAAAAAGUCAUUAUUCCACCUGUUAGAACUAAGUGUAAUUGCUUGUUUUUCCUAAAAUAACACAGAGGCCGUGACUCAUAUAUAUAUAUAUUUUAAUUUAAAAUUCAUUUAAACGUAUUUGCAAAUACUUUACUUUUUAUUUCAAGGUAAGUGAAUUAAACUCAUUAGCCAAUUUCUGUACCUCAGAUAUGCAAGAAAGAAGGUUUUACAUCUUGUAUCAGGUAUUAGAUAAUCAAAUCUUGUAUUCAAUCUUUUCUUUCAUCAAGCGACUUGAAUAGCAACUUCAGAGUUCGACAUGCAAUUUUAUCAUCCAUUCUAUAGCACUCAUUGAUUUAGAAUGAAUAAAGGCUGUUCUCCAGAAAACA